rnacentral:SRP_RNA from 1 species
GCCGGGUGUGGUGAUGAGCACCUUUAGUCCCAGCUAUUCAGGAGGCUGAGGUGGGAGGAUCACUCGAGCCCAGGAGGCUGAGGCUGCAGUGAGCCAUGAUCACGCCACUGCACUCCAGCCUGGGCAUCAGAGUGAGACCCUGCCUCCA